rnacentral:lncRNA from 1 species
CCUAAUCCCCCGCCUUCCGGCUCCGGCGGCGACGCUCGCCCCUCGCCGCCGCUGCCGCUACCGCGCCACCAGUGUCAGCAACCCUCUAGAGACUCCAUUUGCUUUCAGGGCAGUCUGGCCGCCGCGCUGUCUGGCGGAGAGCGAUGCCCCCGGCCCGCUGACUGGCGUCCCCUGGGCCAAGCGCUCGCUCGCUGCGGCGGUGACACCCUGGUCGCCGGCGUCCACGGAGGAAUCCGGGCUCCCUCCGCGUGAGCAAAGACGUCCCGCGCUCCGGAGCUCGCCCUGCGGGGAGAGGCCCUCGCUAACACGGCUUGUCUCUGACCUCUUAAUUUCAGGAGGUUUCGGAGGCACCGAGUGCUUGUACAGCUCCCCACAGGAACUACUUCUGUUGGCCCAUCGAGGAUCAUCUUUCACCAGGAUUAUUUUAACAUCUUCACUGAGCCUUCCACCUCAUACCCUCUGCCAUGAGUUCUGAUUUCUACCAAUGAAGUUUUUAAUGCUUUCUUUAAUCAUGUGACACCACCUCUUGUCCACCUUUUGCCUUUCCAGUUGCCAAAUACAUUAGGUGUAAGUUUGUGUCAUGUUAAAGUACAAAGUUUUCUGCUUGUCCAUUUUCACUGCUCACUUCUGUCCAGCUUGCUUUACCUCGCUUGCCUAUGAUUUUCAUAACCACUCACUUGAUAAUCUCUAGCAGUCCUGCCUAGAAGAGGCAGCAUUCCAUACCGUGCACAGCCUGACAAAGACAGAGGUCAAGGGAUGAGUUUUUCCAUUAUUUGUUCCUAUAUGUCCUGUCUACAAGUCCUCUCUUAAACUAUUCCUUAGCACAUUUCCCAAAAUAGCCCCACCUGAGUCUUAGUCCCUUUAGCAAAGUAUCUCAUCUGUAAUGAUGGCAAGAACUGAAUACAAAAUAGGACUGUUUUAGAAACCUUGUUGGUACGGUAUUAGUCGCAAUCUCCUUUGAGAGUGCAGUACAGGAAAAGACCUCAAACUGAGUGAGGAGGAAGAAAGAAGAUAGGGUUAAUUAAAACUAGUCCUUGUUGAAAGAACUUUGUAGGCUUUAAAACAGCAAAGUGAAGAGAGUCUUGAUAGGCCCGGCUUGGAAAUUGACCAGCACACCAUCCAUCUAGGUCUAGGCGGGGUCAAGAAAGGGAACGUAAAACCCCAUUUUCUAGUCUCACUGUAUUCAAGUCUAAGUUG